UGCUUUCCACUCUCGCUUGAUCUUCCUUCUCUACAUUUCGAAUCAAUGUUUUCGCCGCUUCUAUUUCCUCGAUUCCCGGUCUCUCCGGUAAUGAUUUGUGAAUUCUCAUAAUCUCUUCCACAGCUUCAUCUAUUGAUUGCACGCAACUCUCCAUUUUUCUCUUUCUCUCUCUUUUGUUUUUCAAUUUUCACGACGUGAAAUUGAAUUCUCUAAUAACCUCACCAAGGCAAGGAUAAUAAAAUAAAUCAGCUUCUAAGCCGACGCAUAAUUCCAGCCAAUUCCAUGCUUUUUCUGUUUCUGCUUCGCGGAUUCUGAUUUUUUAUUUUUCAUACAAGUAGAUAGAGAUAGAUAGACAGACAUAUACUUUUUUUGGUGGUUUUUUUUUUCCUCUGUUUUUUAAUUUUCAAUUAAUUAAUUAAAAUUGUUGAUAAUGUGAGUGGAAAUUUUUUCCUCUCCCCUUUUUGGGUGAUAUUUUGAUGUUAAAUAACGUGAAAUUGACAAUGACCGAUCGGUUAUCACCAAGAUCUGCUAACUCGUCGCGCUUGUCAUGCACCGCAUCCUUCUUCUAUUUCCAGACGUGUCCCUGAUUUCCUUCCUAUAUCACAUGACUGCCAUCUUUACGAGUUUUCUCGACCAUGGCUUCACUUCAACCGUAUUUAGUGUAGGCCACAAGCAUUGGCUGAUAAUAAAUACGCGUACGUAUUUGAUGUUAUAGGGAUGGCGAUGGCGAG
rnacentral:lncRNA from 1 species